CCUACGGGUGGCAGCAGUGAGGAAUAUUGGUCAAUGGGCGAGAGCCUGAACCAGCCAAGCCGCGUGAGGGAUGACGGUUCUAUGGAUUGUAAACCUCUUUUGUCGGGGAACAAAGGCGUCCACGUGUGGACUGAUGAGUGUACCCGAAGAAAAAGCAUCGGCAAACUUCGUGCCAGCAGCCGCGGUAAUACGGGGGAUGCGGGCGUUAUCCGGAUUUAUUGGGUUUAAGGGGUGCGUAGGCGGACAGUCAAGUCAGCGGUAAAAAUGCGGUGCUCAACGCCGUACAGCCGUUGAAACUGGGAGUCUUGAGUGGGCGAGAGGUGAGCGGAAUGCGUGGUGUAGCGGUGAAAUGCAUAGAUAUCACGCAGAACUCCGGUUGCGAAGGCAGCUUACCGGCGCCCAACUGACGCUGAGGCACGAAAGCGUGGGUAUCGAACAGGAUUAGAUACCCGUGUAGUC
rnacentral:rRNA from 1 species